GACGAAGGGGGCUAGCGUUGUUCGGAAUUACUGGGCGUAAAGCGCACGUAGGCGGCCUUCCAAGUCAGGAGUGAAAGCCCCGGGCUCAACCCGGGAAUUGCUCUUGAUACUGGAAGGCUUGAGGCCGGGAGAGGAUAGUGGAAUUCCCAGUGUAGAGGUGAAAUUCGUAGAUAUUGGGAAGAACACCAGUGGCGAAGGCGGCUAUCUGGACCGGUACUGACGCUGAGGUGCGAAAGCGUGGGGAGCAAAC
rnacentral:rRNA from 1 species